UACGUAGGUGGCAAGCGUUUAUCCGGAAUUAUUGGGCGUAAAGCGCGCGCAGGUGGUUUCUUAAGUCUGAUGUGAAAAGCCCACGGCUCAACCGUGGAGGGUCAUUGGAAACUGGGAGACUUGAGUGCAGAAGAGGAAAGUGGAAUUCCAUGUGUAGCGGUGAAAUCGUAGAGAUAGGAGGACACCAGUGCGAAGGCGGACUUUC
rnacentral:rRNA from 1 species